GCCUGCUUGGCUGUUACUAUGGCAGCCACACACUGCAAACCAGUUUUCCCUGUUGCCCCAGGAGGAUGUCACCCAAGGGAGGAUGGCAGGCUGCAUCACAUGGCACCUGUGUGCUCUGCUCCGCCACACGCACCAGGUAGAGCGGCCACCCCAGCCGCAGAUGGAGGGUGUGUGCUGGGGGAUGGGCUGACGCACGACCCUGGUUCCCAGCUCUCCAGGUGGGCUGGAGCCCGAGGCUGGAGGAGGAGGAAGGAAAAAAGAUCACUGUUCCCUUCCGUUGGGGAUGAUAGGGACGUCAGAAGCUGGUCUCCAGGAGGGGAGCAUCGUCAUGAAGAGCAGAAAGAAUUGGGCGUUUGCUCAUCCAGGUAGAGGAGGCUUCAGGAGGGAGGAGCCAUCAGAAAGAAUGUGGACACGCUUUGACUUCCAGCCUUUAAAUGGGGGAGCCAAGCCCCCGUCCUGCUCCUGGCCAGGCUCUGGGAGGAAGCGGGGUGCCCUUGGCCCAUCUGGCUCCUGCUCGUCUGGGAUCCGGGUUGCACGUCGCCCCGACGACACCUGGCAGCUGGCGGGGCCCUGGAGCCCGCGCCCUCCCCCCUGCAGGCACACAGGCCACACGGUUGGGGAUUAAGUGGGACAUCUGCACAUAAGAUGCUGACAAAACCACUCCCAGCCUGGAAGCGGCUUGGGGAAAACAGGGCAAUUAGAUGAAGUCUCCUGCUGGGCGCAAAGCCGGCUCCGGCUGCACGGACGCCUGACCCCGCCCUCCCCUUCUCGUCCUGUCUUUUUUUUUUUUUUUCUUUUCCUACUUUUCUUUUUCACCCAUCUACUCCAGCUCACCUCUUUCUGACUGCACUCAUCCUCCAUUUCCCCUGGUUUCCGUUUCUCUUAUGCUCUUCUCCCCGCCCCGCCCCCUUCCUCCUCCUCCUCCUCCUCUGCUGGCUUUCCCUCCCCAUCUUCACCAUCCCCCUCCCUCUUCCUCGUGUCCAUUGCAGGUUUUUUUCCCCUGUCUUGGCUCACCUGUCAGCUGAAGUGGGUUCCGGUUCUCCUGGAGGGGAGCUGCCAGGGGCAUAACUGAACACUAAAGUGUGGCAUCGUGGUUUUGCUGCAGAGGGGCACAGGGGCCCGCACCCGGGGCCCCAGGACAAAGGGAGUCACAGCCACCAGUGAUUGGGCACUGCGACGGGUUCCACGGCAGACCCACUAAGUAGCAGAUGGUUUCUGCUUUGUGGUUUAGGGGACCCAGACUGAGACCCCACCAGUCUCACCCAAGGUCAUCCUACAAGUUAGAAUGUGGCAGUUUUAGAGGUAGUGGAUCCGUGGUUAUGGGUGUUGGGUGGUGGAUCAGUGGUUAUGGGUGAUAGGUAGUGGAUCCGAGGUUACGGGUGUUGGGUGGUGGAUCAGUGGU